rnacentral:rRNA from 1 species
UACGGAGGAUGCAAGCGUUGUCCGGAAUCAUUGGGCGUAAAGAGCGCGUAGGCGGUCCGGUAAGUCCGCUGUGAAAGUCAGGGGCUCAACCCUUGAAUGCCGGUGGAUACUGUCGGGCUAGAGUCCGGAAGAGGCGAGUGGAAUUCCUGGUGUAGCGGUGAAAUGCGCAGAUAUCAGGAGGAACACCAAUGGCGAAGGCAGCUCGCUGGGACGGUACUGACGCUGAGGCGCGAAAGCGUGGGGAGCAAACAGG